UAUGAGUAUGAACCAGACUAUGAAUAUGAGAGCAUUUUAUCUGAAGCUUCUUAUGCUGGAAAUCAGCAGAAUCCUCUUAUGGAGGUCCUCAGUUAUUGCCAGGCCAUGUAUGAUGCCAUCCAGAAGUUGGAUAAAAAAUUUGACCUGCUUC